rnacentral:rRNA from 1 species
GUCUGAUGUGAAAGCCCCGGGCUCAACCUGGGAAGUGCAUUGGAAACUGGGAGACUUGAAUACGGGAGAGGGUAGUGGAAUUCCUAGUGUAGGAGUGAAAUCCGUAGAUAUUAGGAGGAACACCGGUGGCGAAGGCGGCUACCUGGACCGAUAUUGACGCUGAGACGCGAAAGCGUGGGGAGCAAACAGGAUUAGAUACCCUGGUAGUCCACGCCGUAAACGAUG